AGCUCAAUAGCCUUGGUAGAGCGUGCGCAUAUAAAGCGUAGGCGACGUUCAUGCGUGGGUUCGAAUCCCACUAAGGCUA
rnacentral:tRNA from 1 species